rnacentral:rRNA from 1 species
CUUGACGGUACCCUCAAAGGAAGCACCGGCUAACUCCGUGCCAGCAGCCGCGGUAAUACGGAGGGUGCGAGCGUUGUUCGGAAUUAUUGGGCGUAAAGCGCGUGUAGGCGGUUUGUUAAGUCUGAUGUGAAAGCCCCGGGCUCAACCUGGGAAGUGCAUUGGAAACUGGCAGACUUGAAUACGGGAGAGGGUAGUGGAAUUCCUAGUGUAGGAGUGAAAUCCGUAGAUAUUAGGAGGAACACCGGUGGCGAAGGCGGCUACCUGGACCGAUAUUGACGCUGAGACGCGAAAGCGUGGGGAGCAAACAGGAUUAGAUACCCUGGUAGUCCACGCCGUAAACGAUGAGUACUAGGUGUUGCGGGUAUUGACCCCUGCAG